rnacentral:rRNA from 1 species
AGGAAUAUUGGACAAUGGGCGAGAGCCUGAUCCAGCCAUGCCGCGUGCAGGAAGCCGGCCCUAUGGGUUGUAAACUGCUUUUAUACAAAAAGAAACACCCUCUCGUGAGGGAGCUUGACGGUACUGUAGGAAUAAGGACCGGCUAACUCCGUGCCAGCAGCCGCGGUAAGACGGAGGACCCAAGAGUUAUCCGGAAUCAUUGGGUUUAAAGGGUCCGUAGGCGGGAUAAUAAGUCAGCGGUGAAAGUCUGUGGCUCAACCAUAGAAUUGCCAUUGAUACUGUUGUUCUUGAGUGUUUAUGAAGUGGUUAGAAUAUGUAGUGUAGCGGUGAAAUGCUUAGAUAUUACAUGGAAUACCGAUUGCGAAGGCAGAUCACUAAUAAAAUACUGACGCUGAUGGACGAAAGCGUAGGUAGCGAAC